GCGGAGUUGCCGCCUUGUUCCGUGUGUGUUUCCCUUUGGGGCGCCGGUUGUUUCGUUCGCAUCGUUUAACAAGCCGUCCUCGCCUUAAAUGGACCCCAACUGAGGCAGGAACGUCUGUUGGGAAGCGCGACGUUAGUUAAGCCUACAGGUACAGGUAGUCCUUUAUUGACGGCGACAAUUAAGCCCUUAAAUUGUUUGUCGCGAAGCAAAACACAGCAUUAUAUGCGGUUGUGACUGCCAGAGGCUUUAAACCGGAGGAGGUCUAAAUUAUCCACGGCUGGAGGGGGCACCCGUCGCCUGGAUCUUGGGGGGGUGGAGGGUGGGGAACAAAGACGCAUCCACAGCGGCAGAAAGACUGGAUGCAUCGAACGUUGGAACAGUUAGGGGUCCGUGCUGGGCGGGACCCAUUUUCUCUCGGCCACCUGGGCUGUAGUGGAGCCUGGAGUUCGUGCCAUUCUCGCCCAUGGCUCCCGGGGGGCAGGUGUUCUGCCAGUGCCGUCCAGCCACCUCUGCCCCUGCCGUUGCCGCCCAGCCAUGGUGCUAAUUUGGGGCAGUACACCAAAGGCUACUAUGCC